CACGCUCAAAGACAACAGCAACAGCAAGAAGCUUCAUCGUUCAUGGCGACAACAACAAAGACCUCACGCGUUCGCUCUUCUCCCAAUCCCUCUCAAUCGUUCUCCUGUGAAGAACAGAAGCAACGGCGGCCAUGGGAGAACAAAAGCUCUCGGAUUUUCUCUCUGUGUUCGAACAACAACAGUUUUCAUUGGGUUCUUGCUCUCUCAGUGAACAAAGUUUGGUAUUCCUCUUUAACCGAACAACAAUGGCAACCAUGGGAGGAGCUUGUUGAAUUCGUGAACUGAUUUCUUAGACAAAAGUGGAAAACUAGUAUAGCAAACUCAAGCUUUAUCUGUUUCGAUUUUGUCCGCGGUGAAUAAAACAAGAGCUUCUGGUCUUUUUGAUUGAAGACAAACUCAAGAUACAGCAAUAAUUAACAGCAAGUUUGAGAGUGAAAGGAGAACCGACUUACCUACGGCGAGGAGAAUUUCGCCGAUUAUUGUUUGAAGGUAC